GACGAACGCUGGCGGCGUGCUUAACACAUGCAAGUCGAACGGAAAGGCCUCUUUCGGGGGGUACUCGAGUGGCGAACGGGUGAGUAACACGUGAGUAACCUGCCCUUGACUUUGGGAUAACUUCAGGAAACAGGGGCUAAUACCGGAUAGGAGCUCCUGCUGCAUGGCGGGGGUUGGAAAGUUUCGGCGGUUGGGGGUGGACUCGCGGCUUAUCAGCUUGUUGGUGGGGUAGUGGCUUACCAAGGCUUUGACGGGUAGCCGGCCUGAGAGGGUGACCGGCCACAUUGGGACUGAGAUACGGCCCAGACUCCUACGGGAGGCAGCAGUGGGGAAUAUUGCACAAUGGGUGGAAGCCUGAUGCAGCAACGCCGUGUGCGGGAUGACGGCCUUCGGGUUGUAAACCGCUUUCGCUCAUGACGAAGCUUUGUGUGACGGUAGUGGGUAAAGAAGCACCGGCUAACUACGUG
rnacentral:rRNA from 1 species